rnacentral:rRNA from 1 species
CCUACGGGUGGCUGCAGUGGGGAAUAUUGGACAAUGGGGGGAACCCUGAUCCAGCGACGCCGCGUGAGUGAAGAAGUAUUUCUGUAUGUAAAGCUCUAUCAGCAGGGAAGAAAGGAAUGACGGUACCUGACUAAGAAGCCCCGGCUAACUACGUGCCAGCAGCCGCGGGAAUACGGAGGGGGCAAGCGUUAUCCGGAUUUACUGGGUGUAAAGGGAGCGUAGGCGGUUACGCAAGUCUGGAGUUAAAGGCGGGGGCCCAAACCCCGGACUGCUUUGGAAACUGUAUACCUGGAGUGCAGGAGAGGUAAGUGGAAUUCCUAGUGUAGCGGUGAAAUGCGUAGAUAUCAGGAGGAACACCAGUGGCGAAGGCGGCAUACUGG